GCUGGGCGUAGUGGUGCGCGCCUGUAAUUCCAGCUUCUCAGGAGGCUGAGGCAGGAGAAUUGCUUGAACCCAGGAGGUGGAGGUUGCAGUGAGCCAAGAUGGUGCCACUGCUCUCCAGCCUGGGCAACAAAGUAAGACUCUGUCUCAA
ensembl:misc_RNA Metazoa_SRP Metazoan signal recognition particle RNA